rnacentral:rRNA from 1 species
AUGAAGGGCCUUCUCAAGGGCCUCCGAUACAUCUCGCAAAUAUUCGACCCCAAGGAGCCGGAGAUCCAGAUCGGCGCCCCGACGGACGUGAAGCACGUCGCGCACAUCGGCUGGGACAACAACUCCGUCGCCAACCCCGCCUGGAUGAACGAGUUCAAGUCGCAGCAGGGAGCGUCGGGGAGCGGCGGGCCGGAGGGCGCGAUGGCGGGGGCGGAGCAGCCCGGAGGAGGAGGAGGAGGAGGAGGAGGAGGGGCGGGCAAGGCGGAGCAGCCGGAGGCGAAGCCUCGGCGGACGAGAGGGAAGGGGUCGCGGAGCGGUGAGGGGAAGCGGGAAGGGCGGCGGACGGCGAAGGCGGAGGCCUCGGCGGAGGGCGGAGAGAGGGAGGCGGCGGCGGCGAAGCCACGACGGAGGAAGCCCAAGACGUCCGGGGGCGGCUCGGGGUCGGGGAGCCGGUCCAAGCCGGGAUCAGGGGGAGCCGCGUCGGAGUCGUCCGCCGUGGAGGCGGAGGAGGGGUGA